AGCUCAUCCUGCCAUAUUUACCUUCCUGGCUAAGGCUUUUUAAAUUUCAUACUCACUAUUUUACAGGACAGAAAGACUGGGAUUUAGUCUGAUGGUUUGCUCCAGUCCUGAUCUCUGGAUGUUCUCUAGUUUUAAACCAUUUAAACUAUUUCACAGACACUGCACUCCCAUAGCUGAUCCCAAAGGAAUGCAUUCUUGAUGCAUUUACGAACAGCUGAUGCACUUCACAGCAAUGAGAAGACAAGCAAGAGUAAAAGAGGACUGGAAGCAGAAAGCUGAGGAAGAUCAGAAAGAGAAGUAAUGAAACAGGACUUGGUGACAGGCAAUAAAUGAGCAUCAGACAGGAGUCAUCCAA